rnacentral:sRNA from 1 species
GAUGCCCAGCAUGACUGCUUAACCCAGCAGGUGGCAGGGGUACAGAGGCAGUGGGAACAGGGUGAAGUUUAUACUCUCGAGCUGCUGGAUCCUGGCUAGGGUUUCCUCUCUGCAUGUGCACCUCCGCUCCUAGCUACUGCUCAGAAAACAGGCACAAGAAGGGGCCCGGGGCUCCCUUAUCAGCAUGGACUCCCAGCUGCCAGGCCAGCCUCCUCAUAGGAAAAUAUGAGUCUCUCUUCUCCGGCUGCUGGCCAGGGCCAUCAGCAGACAGCUCAGCCUGGCAGUACAGCCUGGCACGACCCUCACCCUGCCUGGGUGGCCAAAGCAUUUUGGGGUGCUGGGUGGAAGGUCUCAUGGAAAACACACCUCAUCCAUCACUGAGGUGGGGGAUUGCUUUGGAGGUCUCAUCUUCCCACAUGCUCGUGCCACCCUUCAUUCUCAGUGGAGGGAUGGUAGCAAUGAAGUCUGCUGGCCAGGCUCGGGGUGAGAAGGCCCUGUCUGCUACACCUGAGUUUCAAGGAGAGAACUGAGCACUGCUGGCUCACUCCUUCCCCUCCCCCACUUUCCAGUUCCCUUCUCUGCUUCCCAGCGCAGCCUCUACUCCUCUUUCAGUUCUUUGACCCAGACCCUGUUCUUUUAGCUGAACCAGCUCCUUCAGCCUCACAGGGAUAGACCUAGGAACCCAGCUUGACCGGACAUGCCACUUGUAACUGUCCUUGGUGUGCCUCAGAACCUUGAUCUUAGUUCUGGCCCAAACAUUGAGGGGACCUAGCCCAUAUGAGUGCUGGUCUCACACAGCAUGACAGUGUGGCUGUCAUGGGAUGACUGACCCUGCUAUAUGGUGACUCAGUGUGGACUGCACAGUGGCUACACGGACCUGAAUGGCCCAGAGAUGCUAAAUUAUGUCAUUUGUUACUUCCUAGGGAGACAACAGGCUGAGAUGUUUUGGAUGUGCUGGAUUAAAACAUACUGAAAGAUUAUUUCUUCCUUUUUCUUGAUGGAGAACCCAGGUAGAUCCAGCUUCCCGAGUGUCCUCCAGUGCUUCUGAGGCCUAUGGAUUUACCUCCUGAGAAGUGCCUGGCAGAAGGAACUGCCUCCUCCCAGUUGCCUCCUACUGGAUCGGCAGAAGACCUCUUGGAUCCUAGAUCUAAGUCCCAGUAUGGCAGAGACACACUGGCAUAGGAUGGGCCACGGCCUCUGUACUUUCCCCAGAGCCCUCUGUGGGAUCCGGCACGUGAUGAGAGGCCUCCACAUCUGUGUGAACUCUCCAAUAACUACUCAGUCUUCUUCCUGAUGCUUCCCUGCCCGACUCAUUCACAACACCAUCCAGACAACUCCUCUCAGAAGGCUCUGGGGACUCAUAGAUCGUUAUGUUGAAUAGUUUGUCCAGUGGGUCUCUUUGGAUUGUAAAUUCAGCCCUGAGAUUAGAUGUGACCAGCAGGUGAGGGGGAAGUAUCUUAGGUCACUCUCUUUGAGGGGAGAUGUCACUUCUCCAAGAGGACAGUGUAGUCACCUAGAUGGCCUGCUUGGGACCUAUUAGCAAGCUGAGGAGACGUGACCUCUGUCUGUCCUUGCUGGAUCCUCUGUGAGGAGGGAUUGUGGAGGUCUGGCCGGGACACCAGUGGCUGCGUCUCAUUUGUUCUGAAGCCUACAUCACCAUUGCUCCACACUUUUGGAUAAGGAGGCAGUGACACUGGCUUCUGCAGACCCGUGAAGGUCACCUUUUCUGCUUCUUUCUUCGUUAUCAAGCUGACUUGAGGAAAGUUUAGAAAAAUAAAUUUUAGACUAAGUUGUA